rnacentral:rRNA from 1 species
GACGAACGCUGGCGGCGUGCUUAACACAUGCAAGUCGAACGGAAAGGCCCUGCUUUUGUGGGGUGCUCGAGUGGCGAACGGGCGAGUAACACGUGAGUAACCUGCCCUUGACUUUGGGAUAACUUCAGGAAACUGGGGCUAAUACCGGAUAGGAGCUCCUGCUGCAUGGUGGGGGUUGGAAAGUUUCGGCGGUUGGGGAUGGACUCGCGGCUUAUCAGCUUGUUGGUGGGGUAGUGGCUUACCAAGGCUUUGACGGGCAGCCGGCCUGAGAGGGUGACCGGCCACAUUGGGACUGAGAGACGGCCCAGACUCCUACGGGAGGCAGCAGUGGGGAAUAUUGCACAAUGGGCGGAAGCCUGAUGCAGCAACGCCGCGUGCGGGAUGACGGCCUUCGGGUUGUAAACCGCUUUCGCCUGUGACGAAGCGUGAGUGACGGUAAUGGGUAAAGAAGCACCGGCUAACUACGUG